AUUGAACGCUGGCGGCAGGCCCAACACAUGCAAGUCGAACGGCAGCACGGGAGCAAUCCUGGUGGCGAGUGGCGAACGGGUGAGUAAUAUAUCGGAACGUGCCCGGUCGUGGGGGAUAACGUAGCGAAAGCUACGCUAAUACCGCAUACGAUCUAUGGAUGAAAGCGGGGGAUCGCAAGACCUCGCGCGAUUGGAGCGGCCGAUAUCAGGAUUAGGGUAGUUGGUGAGGUUAAAGGCUCACCAAGCCGACGAUCUGUAGCUGGUCUGAGAGGACGACCAGCCACACUGGGACUGAGACACGG
rnacentral:rRNA from 1 species